rnacentral:rRNA from 1 species
UACGGAGGGUGCAAGCGUUGUCCGGAUUUAUUGGGUUUAAAGGGUGCGUAGGCGGCUUUUUAAGUCAGUGGUGAAAUCCUGCAGCUUAACUGUAGAACAGCCAUUGAUACUGAAGAGCUUGAGUACAGACGAGGUAGGCGGAAUUUAUGGUGUAGCGGUGAAAUGCAUAGAUACCAUAAAGAACUCCUAUUGCGAAGGCAGCUUACUAGGCUGUAACUGACGCUGAGGCACGAAAGCGUGGGGAUCAAACAGG